CCUACGGGAGGCAGCAGUGGGGAAUAUUGCACAAUGGGGGAAACCCUGAUGCAGCGACGCCGCGUGAGUGAGGAAGUAUUUCGGCACGUAAAGCUCUGUCAGCAGGGAAGAAAAUGACGGUACCUGACCAAGAAGCCCCGGCUAACUACGUGCCAGCAGCCGCGGUAAUACGUAGGGGGCAAGCGUUAUCCGGAUUUACUGGGUGUAAAGGGAGCGUAGACGGCUGCGCAAGUCUGAAGUGAAAGCCCGGGGCUCAACCCCGGGACUGCUUUGGAAACUGUGUAGCUAGAGUGCUGGAGAGGCAA
rnacentral:rRNA from 1 species